UGGGGAAUAUUGCACAAUGGGCGAAAGCCUGAUGCAGCAACGCCGCGUGUGUGAAGAAGGCCUUCGGGUUGUAAAGCACUUUUGUCCGGAAAGAAAUCCUUGGCUCUAAUACAGUCGGGGGAUGACGGUACCGGAAGAAUAAGCACCGGCUAACUACGUGCCAGCAGCCGCGGUAAUACGUAGGGUGCAAGCGUUAAUCGGAAUUACUGGGCGUAAAGCGUGCGCAGGCGGUUUGCUAAGACCGAUGUGAAAUCCCCGGGCUCAACCUGGGAACUGCAUUGGUGACUGGCAGGCUAGAGUAUGGCAGAGGGGGGUAGAAUUCCACGUGUAGCAGUGAAAUGCGUAGAGAUGUGGAGGAAUACCGAUGGCGAAGGCAGCCCCCUGGGCCAAUACUGACGCUCAUGCACGAAAGCGUGGGGAGCAAACAGGAUUAGAUACCCUGGUAGUCCACGCCCUAAACGAUGUCAACUAGUUGUUGGGGAUUCAUUUCCUUAGUAACGUAGCUAACGCGUGAAGUUGACCGCCUGGGGAGUACGGUCGCAAGAUUAAAAGCUUAAAGUG
rnacentral:rRNA from 1 species